rnacentral:rRNA from 1 species
GCGCAGCAGUCGCGAAACCUCCGCAAUGCGGGAAACCGUGACGGGGUCACCCCGAGUGCCACCCGAUGAGGGUGGCUUUUCCCCGGUCUAAAAAGCCGGGGGCAAUAAGCGGGGGGCAAGUCUGGUGUCAGCCCGCCGCGGUAAUACCAGCCCCGCGAGUGGUCGGGACGUUUAUUGGGCCUAAAGCGUCCGUAGCCGGCUCGGUAAGUCCCUCCUUAAAUCCACGGGCUCAACCCGUGGGGCUGGGAGGGAUACUGCCGGGCUAGGGGGCGGGAGAGGCCGAGGGUACUCCCGGGGUAGGGCGAAAUCCGUUAAUCCCGGGAGGACCACCAGUGGCGAAGGCGCUCGGCUGGAACGCGCCCGACGGUGAGGGACGAAAGCUGGGGGAGC